rnacentral:rRNA from 1 species
AGAGUUUGAUCCUGGCUCAGAAUCAACGCUGGCGGCGUGCCUCAGACAUGCAAGUCGAACGAGAACCUCCCUUCGGGGAGGGGACAGUGGCGCACGGGUGAGUAACACGUGGGUAAUUUACCUUUGGGUGGGGAACAACAGCCGGAAACGGCUGCUAAUACCGCAUAAUGCAGCGGCAUCGCAAGAUGACAGUUGUUAAAGCGGGGGAUCGCAAGACCUCGCGCCUAAAGAGAAGCCCGCGGCAGAUUAGCUAGUUGGUAGGGUAAUGACCUACCAAGGCAACGAUCUGUAACCGGCCUGAGAGGGCGGUCGGUCACACUGACACUGACAUACGGGUCAGACUCCUACGGGAGGCAGCAGUCGGGAAUUUUGGGCAAUGGGCGAAAGCCUGACCCAGCAACGCCGCGUGAAGGAUGAAGCUUUUCGGAGUGUAAACUUCACAAGAAUGGGAAGAAUAAGUUCAGGAUAAUACCCUGAACGAUGACGGUACCAUUUGUAAGCUCCGGCUAACUCCGUGCCAGCAGCCGCGGUAAUACGGGGGGAGCAAGCGCUGUUCGGAUUUACUGGGCGUAAAGGGCGCGUAGGCGGCGCGACAAGUCACUUGUGAAAUCUCUGAGCUCAACUCAGAACGGUCAG